rnacentral:rRNA from 1 species
AGUCACUGACAUUAGAUACCCCGGUAGUCCUAGCCGUAAACGAUACUCGCUAGGUGUCGGCCACGGUGCGACCGUUGUCGGUGCCGUAGGGAAGCCGUGAAGCGAGCCACCUGGGAAGUACGGCCGCAAGGCUGAAACUUAAAGGAAUUGGCGGGGGAGCACAACAACGGGUGGAGCUUGCGGUUUAAUUGGAUUCAACGCCGGAAAUCUUACCGGGACCGACAGCAACAUGAAGGCCAGGCUGAAGACUUUGCCGGAUUAGCUG